CAGCCAAUCAGCUAUCAGCAACCAGGGCCCACAGGAACCCAGUGUGGUUUGGUUCUUUCCAUCUGUGAUAUGGAUCAGAACAGUGAAGAGCGUGUGACGUAGAAGCCCAACCACAGCAGAGGAGAUGAGGAGAUAAGAAUGAGGAGGAGCUGACAGGUGUCAUGAGGAAACACAGAGACAGAGCAGAGACGAGCAGAGCAUGAGAGUGGACAUGGAGCACACACUGGUGGUCAUCUGGAUGUCCUUCUGGAUUCAAGGGCUCCUGUCUGAAAACAACAGCACUUCAACAGGUAAGAAAUGCACAAAGGAGGGAUGU